GGUUUGUACUUGUGAUUAUUUAUUCUCUUUUGCUUAGUUAUGAAUCUAUUGUCAUAUUUAUAGGUCUGUCAGAUCAAAUUGUCUUGCCCCCUGUAUGAAUUAUUUAAUUUCUGCUUGCAUUUUAUUGAGUUAGUCCUCUUGAGAGAUUUCAUUUGUCUAGCAUAUUAAUAGUCUACACCAGGUGGUUUUGUAGGAGUUUCCACAUAAGAUUAUUUUGAUGUCUCUUUUACAUUCUACACAGAAAAUUUUGAUUUAAUGUCCUUUCUUUUUGCCUAUUUCUGCUUUUAGGAUGAGCAGUCUGUUGAUCAU
rnacentral:misc_RNA from 1 species